rnacentral:misc_RNA from 1 species
AACGCACAUUGCACCUAGGAGUAUUCUUCUAGGUAUAUCUGUUCGAGCGUCGUUUUAUAAGAUAAGGCUUUGCCUUGCGUUGAUACUUGGUUUUAUCUAUCAAGUAUUCAAACUUGUUGGCAAUUGAAGUGGCCGAUACGCAGCGAUAUGCGAUUGAAAACCAUGGAUGUUUGCCAGUCAUUUUCACAAGUGUUCGACCUCGAAUCAGAUAAGGUUACCCGCUGAACUUAA